rnacentral:rRNA from 1 species
AGAGUUUGAUCCUGGCUCAGAACGAACGCUGGCGGCAGGCUUAACACAUGCAAGUCGAACGAUAUAGUGGCAGACGGGUGAGUAACGCGUGGAAACGUGCCUUUCACUACGGAAUAGCUUUUGGAAACGAAAGGUAAUACCGUAUACGCCCUCCGGGGGAAAGAUUUAUCGGUGAAAGAUCGGUCCGCGUUAGAUUAGCUAGUUGGUGAGGUAACGGCUCACCAAGGCUACGAUCUAUAGCUGGUCUGAGAGGAUGAUCAGCCACACUGGGACUGAGACACGGCCCAGACUCCUACGGGAGGCAGCAGUGGGGAAUAUUGCACAAUGGGCGCAAGCCUGAUGCAGCCAUGCCGCGUGAAUGAUGAAGGCCUUAGGGUUGUAAAAUUCUUUCGCCAGGGAUGAUAAUGACAGUACCUGGUAAAGAAGCCCCGGCUAACUUCGUGCCAGCAGCCGCGGUAAUACGAAGGGGGCUAGCGUUGUUCGGAAUUACUGGGCGUAACGCACGUAGGCGGACUUUUAAGUCAGAUGUGAAAUCCCGAGGCUCAACCUCGGAACUGCAUUUGAAACUGGGAGUCUAGAGAUCAGGAGAGGUUAGCGGAAUACCGAGUGUAGAGGUGAAAUUCGUAGAUAUUCGGUGGAACACCAGUGGCGAAGGCGGCUAACUGGACUGAUACUGACGCUGAGGUGCGAAAGUGUGGGGAGCAAACAGGAUUAGAUACCCUGGUAGUCCACACCGUAAACGAUGAGUGCUAGUUGUCUGCAGGCAUGCCUGUAGGUGACGCAGCUAACGCAUUAAGCACUCCGCCUGGGGAGUACGGCCGCAAGGUUAAAACUCAAAGAAAUUGACGGGGGCCCGCACAAGCGGUGGAGCAUGUGGUUUAAUUCGAAGCAACGCGCAGAACCUUACCUACGCUUGACAUGCCUGGACGACUCCGAGAGAUCGGUUUCUCCCUUCGGGGCCAGUGCACAGGUGCUGCAUGGCUGUUCAGCUCGUGUCGUGAGAUGUUGGGUUAAGUCCCGCAACGAGCGCAACCCUCAUCCUUAGUUGCCAUCACGUUUGGGUGGGCACUCUAGGGAAACUGCCGGUGCUAAGCCGGAGGAAGGCGGGGAUGACGUCAAGUCCUCAUGGCCCUUACGCGUAGGGCUACACACGUGCUACAAUGGCAGUGACAAUGGGAUAAUCCCCAAAAGCUGUCUCAGUUCGGAUUGUCGGCUGCAACUCGCCGGCAUGAAGUUGGAAUCGCUAGUAAUCGUGGAUCAGCAUGCCACGGUGAAUACGUUCCCGGGCCUUGUACACACCGCCCGUCACAUCACGAAAGUUAGUUGCUCUUGAAGUCGCUGAGUUAACCCUCGGGAGACAGGCGCCGACAGAGUGGCUGGCGAUUGGGGUGAAGUCGUAACAAGGUAGCUGUAGGAGAACCUGCGGCUGGAUCACCUCCUU